rnacentral:rRNA from 1 species
CCUACGGGUGGCAGCAGUGGGGAAUAUUGCACAAUGGGGGAAACCCUGAUGCAGCAACGCCGCGUGAGUGAAGAAGUAUUUCGGUAUGUAAAGCUCUAUUAGCAGGGAAGAAGAUGACGGUACCUGAGUAAGAAGCCCCGGCUAACUACGUGCCAGCAGCCGCGGUAAUACGUAGGGGGCAAGCGUUAUCCGGAUUUACGGGGUGUAAUGGGAGCGUAGGCGGGGAGACAAGGCUGGAGUGAAAGGCCGGGGCUCAACCCCGGGGCUGCUUUGGAAACUGCCUGACUGGAGUGCUGGAGAGGCAAGCGGAAUUCGUGGUGUAGCGGUGAAAUGCGUAGAUAUUAGGAAGAACACCGGUGGCGAAGGCGGCUUGCUGGACAGUAACUGACGUUGAGGCUCGAAGGCGUGGGGAGCAAACAGGAUUAGAUACCCCAGUAGUC